CAGCAGUGUGACCCUUAUCCAUGGAAGCACCUCGGUCACUGCUCAGGGACCCCUGUUCCCAAAACUUCAUUUAUUUGAAAACCAAGCCCAUAGGGAGGGUUGGUUGGUUCGUGAGUCACCUGUGACACAGCAAUGGCCAAAUCAUCAGUAACGCCUAUAUAAAAUUCGACAAAACAAAACCCACAAAAAUCGAUUUGAUCGAAUUAUUCUUCACAAUUUCACAACACAAAUGCUACAAUUUCGAUUACUACGCUUCCCUCUGCCUUCUUCCAAUCUCUCCACUCUCUCUCCAAUUCCCACAACAAAUCUCCUUCGCAUCUCUGCAUCGAGAUCGCCAAGCUCGAAACCCAGAUCUCCUAUGGCGUCUUACACUACAUCCUCUUCGUCUCCGAAGCUCUUGUUUCGUCAGCUCUUCGAGAAGGAGUCCUCUACCUACACUUACCUUCUCGCCGAUCAAUCCCACCCUGAAAAGCCCGCUCUGUUGGUUGACCCAGUAGAUAAGACAGUGGAUAGGGAUCUUUCUUUUGUUAAAGAUUUGGGGUUGAAGCUUAUAUAUGCCAUAAACACCCACGUACAUGCCGAUCAUGUCACUGGAACUGGCCUGAUUAAGACUAAAGUUUCUGGUGUUAGAUCUAUUAUUUCCAAAGCAAGCAAUGCCAAAGCUGAUCUCUUUGUUGAGCCUGGUGAUAAAAUAUGUUUUGGUGAUCUUUUCUUGGAGGUUCGUGCUACUCCAGGUCACACCUUAGGAUGUGUUACCUAUGUUACAGGAGAUGGACCUGAUCAGCCUCAACCAAGGAUGGCUUUCACAGGUGAUGCAUUAUUAAUACGUGGAUGUGGGAGGACAGAUUUUCAGGGUGGAAGUUCAGAACUGCUGUAUAAAUCAGUGCAUUCACAGAUCUUUACACUGCCCAAGGACACAUUGAUAUAUCCUGCUCAUGACUACAAGGGUUUCACUGUAAGGAUACAUCUAAUGGCUCGUGUUUCUUGAAUAUAUGCAUAUUGAAAGAAAGCUGCUUACAUGCCACCAAAACUUUUCAGGAAAAAUUCAAGAGCAUCAUGGAAAAUUUGAACUUGGCAUAUCCAAAGAUGAUCGACGUAGCAGUCCCUGCAAAUAUGGUUUGUGGAUUGCAAGAUCUGGCUUUCAAAUCUGCCUAAUGCUCUGUUAGGCCGGAUCUAGCAGGUUAUGCUAACGGUGAUAAUAGAAAGUGGUUUCUAGAUGUCAACACGAUUUAAUGUGGCAUUCGUGUGUGAAAUUGUUGAAUAAACAACCAUAUCAGAUCGGAUUUUAAAUGAUGCCAUAAGAACUAUGUAUGUUCUUCGGAUGGGCAUUCUGAAAUUUGUAAUGACUAUGCACAUUGUUUUACCAAUAUAUCUCUCAUUUGUAAUCCAUCAUUUUCAUUCAUUUA